GGUGUGGGGAAUUUAAACCUAUUUUUGGUUUGUUCGAUCUGUUCCUUUAUCUUAGGAUCAGACUCCUGCUCCUUACUUUUUCAAUUAAGACAAUUUAUGCACUUUCAGUAUUACUGAGGAAUUUGGAAUGCUAUGGUCUUGGUAGGAAAGGAGCCUAAAUUUAACCCAAAGGAAUGCUGAUACGGAUCACCUUGGAUAAUUUCAGCUGGGCCUGGAAGUUGUAGUCUUAAUAGGACAAUUUUUAGAUUUCUUUUGGAGUGUUUUUCAUUUUCCACAUCCAUGGAUUGUUUUUAAAGAUUGUUUGCUGUCAUCGCAUUUGAGUCAGUUAACAUGACCUGGAUAACAUCAAUUUCCUGGAUUUGUGUUGAUUUCAGAAAAAAAAAAUGAUAAAUCCAAGAAGGCAACCUUGGUUUAAAAUAGAAGAAGGUACUGAAUGAAAAAUAGUCCUACCCUGCUCCUGAAAAAAAAGAAAAAAGAGGAGAAAAGAGCAUGAUUCUAAAGAAAGGCCCCAUCAAAGUAUGUCAUUGUGCCGCAUGUCUCCCCACUACCCUGCAUGCCUUUCUCUAAUUGUGAAGCUGAAUUCCAACACUCAACUCCUUGACCAUGCUGGUCGAUGUACUGGACGAUCACCAGGCUUACGGUGGUGAUACGGUGAUAAGAUGAAGAAGCAAGAAGAAGGAAGGCUGUGUCUUGCUUCCGAUGACCUGUGGAGAACGAGCUGAGAGUAGAACUGUCUAGGCCAAGGUGCCCAGUCUUCCUUAUUCUCCUGGGCCUGACAGGAAACAUCUGGGCACAUAAGCUUAAGAUGGAACAAUGUCUGGCCAUGUAGUUUAUCCCAAGGAAAUGCUUUAAAGGUAUGGGUGGCAGUCUUGCCCUUGACAGAAUAAGUUGUCAAACACAACUAUUUGAAUUAUUAGAAUGAACAUAAUUAGGGUUUCAAUGUGAGAUCAUUUGUCUUCCUUCCGGAAAAGAAACAAAUGGCAGAUUGAGUUACUACCAUGUUCACAGCCAUAUUCUUUCCUUAUUUGAAGUCUGAAUAUUCCAUAUCCUAAGCUUGAAGGAUCCUGACCAUGACAGAGCAAAUAAGGACUUUUUAGUGAUAGCAACACUUCCUGCAACCAUGGCCCUCUGCACCCUCUGCAGUUUCAACAAUAGCUAGACUUCAGAGGAAGGACAGAACUUUGAAACUUAAACACAGAGCAGAAUGACGUUGAAAUUCAUAGGAGUUUAGGCUUGAUGUCUUACUUCCUUCAGAGUCCAUUUGAUUAAUUCAUCUUGUUUCCUAGCUAUCUGAUGAGAUCAUAUUUUACAUCUUUAUGUAAGUGGCUAAAGGAUUCAAGUUUGCAGCAUUCCAAAUGAAACCUCGGGAGAGAACUCACCAGCUGCUGAGUUAAGGGUGAGUGACAGGAUUUGGGAUUAAGGAUAUCUUGUAUGCAGAACUAAAAUCCCAAUUCAUUUCCCAGUGAUUGUACAUUGAGGAGUGGCUUAAUAGCCCAGGAGGAAUGGAAUGAGCUGAAUGAGAUAAAGUGUAAUUUGGUAUCUUAGACGCUUUAAAUAUCGAAAAGACAUUUGGCUGUUCAUAGAGAAUUUUCACGUUAUUUACAUAGCUGGCCUUUGGCGGUUCCCCAAGGUCCAGUCUACACAGGUCCUAGGGUCUGUGGGCUUGGCUGGGUAUUUAUUGCUCAUACUGUUCUGCAUCCACAAGCUGUGGCUGACACCAUCUGUCUUUAGUGCUGUAGUAACUGUACACUGGAGUUUUUCUGGAAAUUUAAGACCAGUCAGUUUUUCAGCCUUCUAUGCCAUUAUCCUUGCCCAUUAAGCCAAAAUUUAAUGCUUCUCCAUAUCAGUUUUAUUGCUUGUUAUCUCCAACCCUACCUCUCAUUGUUAGCUCUACAGUACAGGUCCUUCACGUUUCUCCUUAGAGCUGGUGUGCUAUUAAGCUUUGUCAAGAGAGUGUGUAGGAGUGACAUGAAAGGAAGCGACCUUUCUCUUCCUAGUGGUGGUGUUUCAUUAACUUCCUAUUUCUGCGGCGAGAUCCAUACAGAGGUGCGCUCCCCCACCAAAUUUCAGCACGCCCCUAGGAAGAUUUCCUAGGAGUCCUGUGGGCACCCCUCUGGUCCCUUCCUCUCUCAGCCUAAGGGGUGUUUCCUGGGUUCCAGUGCAGCAGGAGAAAUAGCAACCCCAAAGAUGUCCACGUCCUAAUAUUUAGAACCUGUGACUAUGUUAUGUAAGGUUGUGGAGGAAAUUAAGGUAACUGACAGAUCAUUCUAGAUUGUCCAGAAAAAGGCAGAAAAUGGAGUCAGUGAGAGUAAUAAUGGAAGCAAUUUUAGAGUAUUGCAAUAUGAGAGCUCAACCUGCUAUUGCUGACUUUGAAGAUGGAAAGCUUUGAAGAGCUCUAGCAUGGUAGCUAGAGAUGCAGCAGCCAUCUUGUGACCAUGAAGGACCAAAAGAAUUGCAGGAGAAUAGGCCUUGUAAUUAUGAAACUCUGCCUACUCCUGCAGCCUCUCACCUCAAGAUUUCUGGGUAUAUAAAACAAAAACAAAACAGACACCACUGAUUUUCUUUAAAGUACAAUGAUUACUUGCAGCCAAAAUGAAUUCUGUUGCACCAUACUAGGAAGAAUCUGGUCGUUCUUCUCUAAGUUUUCAUUUCACAGGUGGCACAGUUUUCUAGUCCAUUGUCAUCAAAUAUUUAUUAAUUUUUGUUUGCCUGUCUCACAUUUCUAAUGGUCUGAGCUCCUUGGGGUCAAGAAAUUAAUUUUAUUGGUACACUUUUGAUAUGCAUAAUGACCACUUUUGUAGUAGGGAAUUUGUGCCUGUACAUAAUAUAUCUUGAUUCUUCAUUUUUUCCCAUUCCCUUCCCCUCUCUUCAACCCUUCUUCCCCCACUUUACAAAAAUUUUACUUCCAUUUUUUAUUUCUAUUUUUUUCCUUUUCCCUUCCCUCCCUUCACCCAUGUGAACAUUUUCUUUCCACUUCCCAAUAUCUAUCAUCCAUUUUGGUCCUUAUUUAUGCUUUCCAGUUUCACAUAGAAACAAUGUGAUAUUUAAACGUAUGGCUGAUCUCGUGGUCCAUCCAUUUACCUAAAAAUGUCUCAAAUUUAUCCUUCUUUAUGGCAGAGUAAAACAUCAUUGUAUGUAAAAACCACAUUUUCUUUAUCCUUUCAUCCAAUGAUGCUCAUCUGGGCUGUUUCCAAGAUUUAGCUAUUAAAAAUUGUGCUGCUAUAAACAUGGGUGUGCAUAUAUCACUGUGGUAUGAUACUUUUAACUUUUUUGGGAAGAUACCAAGAAGGGGAAUAGGUGGGUCAAAUGGAACCUCUAGUUUAAGUUUUUUGAGGAAUCUCCAUAUUUCUUUCCAUAUUGGCCAUUUAUCUUCCAGCAGAUUGUUUCUGUUUUAAUAUUUAGAUCUUUGAUCCAUUUUGAUUUUAGUUUAGUGCAUGUUGAGAUAUAUUGGUCUAGGUUCAAACUUCAGCAUGUACAAAUCCAGUUUCCCCAGCACCACUUAUUAAAGAGGCUGUCUUUCUCCCAGUGAAGACAUUUGGCCACUUGGUCAAAAAUAAGGUGGCUGAGUAUGUUUGGAGUUUUCUACAUCUUCUGUACUGUUCCAUUGAUCCUCAAGUCUGUUUUGUUUUGUUUUGCCAGUACCAUGAUGUUUUUAUCACAGUAGCUCUGUAGUAUAAUUUCAAGUUGGGGAUUGUGAUGCUCCCUGCCUUGCCUUUGUUGCUCGGAAUUGCUUUGGCUAUUCUAGUUCUCUUCUGGUUCCAAAUGAAUUUUAGGAUUGUUUUCUAUAGUUCUGUGAGGUAUGCUGUGGGUAUUUUGAUUGUAAUUGCAUUAAAUAUGUAUAACAAUUUUGGAAGUAUGGUCAUUUCCACUAUAUUAAUUCUUCCUACCCAAGAGAAAGAGACAUCUUUCCAUUUUCUGAUAUCCUCUUUUAUCUCCUUUUCAAGAGUACUGUAGUUUUAAAUGGAAAGGUCUUUUACUUCUUUUGUUAGAUUGAUUCCUAAAUAUUUCAUUUUUCUUGAUGUUAUUGUGAAAGAUGUUGUUUCCCUAAUUUCUCUUUCAGUGAAUUUGUUAUUUGUGGACAGGAAUGCUAUUGAUUUUUGAGUAUUGACUUUGUAUUCUGCUACAUUACUGAAUUUGGUUAUUCAAUCUAGGAAUCUUAUGGUGGCAUUUUUUGGGUCUUCUAUAUAGAGUAUCAUGCUAUCUGUAAAUAACGAUAAUUUAACUUAUUCCUUUCCUAUCCUUAUUCCUUUUAUGUUUUUCUAUUGUCUAAUUGCUCUGGCUGAUGUUCCAGAACUAUAUUAAAUAGGAGUGGUGACAGUGGACAUCCUUGUCUUGUUUCCAAUUUUAGAGUGACAGUUUCAGUUUUUGACCAUUUAGUAUGAUGUUGGUUGUUGGUUUGUCAGAGAUGGCUUUUAUCAGAAUGAUAAAGACCUUAUAUUCCAAUUUUCUGUAGAUUUUUAAAAAAACAUGAAUGGAUGUUGGGCUUUGUCAAAUGCUUUUUCUGUGUCUAUUGAGAUGAUCAUGUGGUUUUUGUUCUUGGUUCUGUUAAUGUGGCGUAUUACAUUUUUUGAUUUGCAUAUGUUGAACCAUCCAUACAUGCCUAGGAUGAAUCCUGCUUGGUCAUGUUAUGUAAGCUUCUUGAUGAUUUUCUGCAUUCUGUUUACCAGUGUCUUACUGAAGAUUUUUGAAUCUAUGUUCAUUAGGGAGCUUGCCCUGUAGUUCUCUUUUUUGGUUGGAUCCUUCUCUAGUUUUUGUAUCAGCAUAAUGCUUGCUUCCAGGAAUAAGUCUGUGAGUAUUGCUUCCUUUCUAAUUUCAUUAAAGAGUUUGAGGAAUAGUGGCAUUAGAUCUUCCCUAGAUUUUAUGUAGAAUUCAGCAGUAAAUCCAUCAGGACCUGAGCUUUUCUUUGUUGAUAGUUUUCUAAUUAUUUUUUCAAUUUUAUUGACAUCAGGUUAUUUUAAAUUUUUAUAUCUUCUUGAUUCAGCUUUGGUAAUUCAUAUGCAUCAAGCAAUUUGUCCAUUUCUCUUGAGUUUUCCACUUUGUUAGAGUACAGUUUCUUGAAAUAGCUAUUGAUUAUAUUCUGGAUUUCUGCAGGCUCCAUUGUGACUUUACCCUUUACAUUCCUAAUUGCAUGGAUUUGAGUCUUUUCUUUCCUUUUUUUUUCCAUAAGCUUGGCUAAAGGUUUGUCUAUUUCAUUUAAUCUUUGAAAGAACCACCUCUUCAAUUCAUUAAUUUUCUGUAAUCUCAGUCUCAAUUGCAUUAAUUUCUCCUCUGAUGUUUAUAAUCCCCCCCCCCCCUUGUGGGUGCUUUGGGUUUAACUUGCUCUUCUUUUACUAGAAGCUUGAUACGCAACAUUAGGUUGUUUAUUUGAGCUUGCUCUGUUUUUCUGAUGUGGAAAUUCACCACUAUGUAUUUCCCUUGUAGGACUGCUUUCAUUGCAUCCCGUAAGAUUUGUAUGUUGUAUUGGCAUUAUCAUUUAAUUGUGGAAACUGUCUAAUUUCUGCUUUAAUUUCAUCUGUGCCCUAUUAGUUGUUCAGGAGGGUAUUAUUUAAUUUCCACAUGUUUGGGAAGUUUUUCUAGCUUCUUUUGCCAUUGAUUUCCAAUUUUAUUGUACUGGGAUCGGAUAAUAUGCACUGGAUAAUUUCAGUGCCUUUGCAUUUAAUUAAGCAUGUUCUGUGGGCUAGUAUGUAGUUUAUUUUGGGAAAAGUUCCAUGUACAGCUGAAAAGAAUGUGUAUUCUGUUGUUGUGGGGUGGAAUACUCUAUACAUAUCUACUGAGUGCAUUUGUUCAAAGGUUUGGUUCAGCUGUAAUAUUUCUUUGUUGAUUUUUUUGUCUAGCUCAUCUAUUUGUGACAGUGAGGCACUGAGGUCCCCUAUUGUAAUUGUAUUAGUACUUAUUUGAUUUUUCACGUCCAUUAUUAUUUGUUUUAUGUAGUUGCGUGGGCUGGUAUUUGGUGCAUAUAUAUUUAUGAUUGUUAUCUCUUAUUCUUGGAUUGUUCCCUUAAUAAGUAUGUAGUGAUCUUCCUUGUCUCUUUUGAUCAGUCUUGGUUUGAAAUCCACUUUGUCUGCAAAUAGAAUAGCCACCUCUGCUUUUUUCUGUGUUCCUGGAGCACGGAGUGUUGUUUCCCAUCCUUUGGUUUUCAGUUUAUUCAUUUCUUUUUGAGUUGAAUGUGUUUCUUGUACGCAGCAUAUUGUUGGAUCUUGUUUCUGGACCCAUUUGGCGAGUCUGUUUCUUUUGAUUGGUGAAUUGAGACCAUUUACAUUGAUGGAUAUAACUGAUAUGUAUUGCCUUAUCCUUGUCAUGUUAUUUUCCUAUUGUUGGUUUCCUUUUUUCCCUUCUGUUUAAUUGCCACAGAAAUACCAUCUCCAGUGAGAAAUGGAUGGAUCCUGUAAUUAUUUAGGAGGCAGAAAGGACAAGACCAACCUGGUAAGGGAUAGGGGGAGGGGAUGAGAGAGUAAAAGAAAGGCUCAAGUUGCCUGGCAUUAUCCUUAAUGAGUGUUGGAUUUGGCACCUAUUGGUUCUGCAAUCUCGGCAAGCUCUUCAGAUGUGUCAAUGCCCCAGUCCCCCAUCUGUAGAGUAGGAAUAGCAGUAACAUCUACUUCAUAGGCUUGUUGUGAGAAGUAAAUGACUUACUACAUGUAAAUUGUUCCUAACUAUGUCUGGCACAGAGUGUUUAGCCUGGGUUAUCUAUCAGUUCUCAUCCUCAUCACCAGGGCCAGGAUGGGAAAGCAGGUAAGUAGGGAGGCUUGUAAGAGAGGAAAACGUGAAUGGUCAGAAGGGGAGUCCAGGAGGAAUGAAGUGGAAGAGCUAGCUCCCUAGUCGAGUGGCUACAGAAUGUUAAACAUCUCUCACCAUCCCUGAAGAGAAAGGUUUCAUUUAACGUGGGACUGAAAGUCAUUUAAGGAGCUCAAGAGAAAUGGGAUUUGAGGCAUGCUGCUUUUACUCGAGAUUUGUGUCAACUGGUUAUACUGCUUUGAUUAUUGUUUUAAGCAUGUCCCGGGGGGUUGGGGCAGGAAAAGAAGAGUUGAGCAUCCUCAUUUUUAGUGGGAAGGACUGUAAGCCAUUCUGGGUCACAGCCAGAGUCUGGAGGGUUGUACCUAACAGAUUUCUGCAACAAUUAAUUGAAGCCCAACAGCAAGAAUAACAUAAGAGGCCUAAGAGAGGUCAUUAACCUCAGGCAGUGGAGGAUGCUGUGCGAGUAGGUAGGACAAGUAGGAAGGAGACACUCCAGGCUGCUGUGACCAGGGCCCAUUAACAGGCAAAGCCCGCUUAUGGGGGUCUGAGAGGCUCAAGUGUUUGGCAUGUAUGACUUUCAUCCUCUUAGUUUUCCCUCCAAGAAGGAGAUAUUAUUGAGCUCAUUUUAAGGAUGAAGAGACAGAGUUUAGAGCUUAAGUAACAUUUUCCACCAACCAGGAAGAAGUAGAGCCAGAUUUCCACCAGGAUCUAUCCCUGUCCUCUUUGCUGUGUGGCAGUCCCUGCUGGUGCUGCUCAGGAUGUGCCGUGUAGGGCAGUGUGUAUCUGCAUUACAGGGGCAAAUUGGUGGCUCCUACUCACUGAGUCUGGGAGCUUACUGAGCCCCAGAAGGAGCAGGGUAUGAGCCCUUGUCAUGUCUCUCACAGGCUGAAGAGAGAGGAGUUCUGGAAGACACAGCUGCAGCUCAGUGAGGAAAAACCUCAUCCUGCAUGAUGUGAUGGCUAAUUUUAUAUGUUGGCUUGACUAGACCAUGGGGUACCCAUAUAUUUGGGGUGCAUAAACAUUCUGGGUGUUCUAUGAAGGUGUGUUGGGAUGAGAUUAACACUUAAAUAGGUAAACUGAGUAAAGCAAAUUACUUUCCCUAAUGUGGGUGGGCCUCAUCCAAUCAGUUGAAAGCCUGACUAGAACAAAGCCUCCCCUGAGUUAGAAGGAAUUCCUCCAGCCUGCCUGCCUUCAAACAGGGACCCUGGCUUUUUCCUGCCUUUAAGAUUUGAACUGAAACAUUGGCUCUUCUCUGAUCUCCAGCUUGCUGACCCUCUUCACAGACCUUGGGAGUUGUCAACCUCCAUAAUCACAUGAGUACACAUGUGCACAUGCACGCAGACACACGCACAUGCACACACACGCACAUGCGCACACACCUAGCUCUAUUUCUCUGAUAAAUAUGGUAUGAUGCCCUGUACAUACAUGACAACAAAUGGUCACCAAGCAAAAAAAAAAAUCUUUCUCUUUAAAACGCAGUAGGUGGUAGCCAUAUUUACAGUAGUAUGUGGGCCCGAGAAGAUAUUAAUUAUCCCUUGCACUAGGUCUUGUGGACCUUGAUCCAAAGACAGGGAGAAUGAAGAUGGCCAGCCUUUGAUGGAGUGCAGUUAAUGGUGCCCUUGUGUGGCUGGCAGGGAACCAAGAUCUGACCUCCUUUUCAGCCCCUGUGAAUGCAACACUGACUGCACUGGUGUCUGCUGGCCAGUCAAGAUGCUCUGCCCCCACCAAGGGUGGAGAAGAAGGGAAGAGCCCGUGUCUCACACAAUGCAAAGCGAAGAAAGGAAGACAUUAAAACCCUUUUUCAAUUCCUAGCAAGGGAAGUUUGGAAAUUACCCUCUGAGACCUUCCUGCUAUAGCUCAUGUAUCUGUUUUGUAUGGAAUUAUGAUUGGUAUUAGUAAUAGUAAUAGCAAGCAGUAAUUGCUAUGUUCUAGUUGUGCUAAGUACUUUAAGCAUAUCAUUUCAUUUAACCUUUACACUACAUGAAGCAGUUUCUCUUUUUAUCCUGUUGUACAAAUGAAAAAACAGACUCAGAGAGAUUGAUUGACUUGCCUAAGAUCUCAUAGCUACUAAUUGGUCCACCAAGGUUUCACCAGGUGAUGUAAUGCUACAGACUAUGCUGGCUAUUCUCUAAGGAGAAUGUGGUCAUUAUCAUUGGGUUCUUUUGAUUGGCUUCAUAAUGCUAAAGAACUCCUUCAUGUUCCUAAGUGAUGUGGUCCCCAACUGACAAUUGCAAUAGAAUGUUGGACAUUUAGACUGAUGACCAGGUGCACAACUUGCCUAUUUGACCAGGUGCCCAGUUUACCUAUUAAAUGUUACCUUACCCAAUGUUGCUUCUGAUUGGGUGUGCCAUCUUUUUAGAUGACAAUUCCUCCUAACAGUAACAUUUUCUGCUUCUCAGGGUUAUAAUCAGGCCACCUGAUUUGGUUCCAAUCCUUGCUGUGCUCCUCAAGCUGAGCAGCCAUGGGAAAGUGACUCAGCUUUCAGAGCCCAGUCUUUGUACCUGUCCAGCAGGGAUUCUAAUGCCUCCCUCAUAGGUCAUCAUGCAGUUCAAGGGUAAAUUUGGCCAAGCACCCCACGCGGUGCCUGGCACUUAGAAGGUGUUCGGAAUGUUCUUCUCCCAGAGAAAAAGUGAUUCCUUCUUGGUCCUGUCGUUACAUCCACCACCUAACUCUUGGAUGCGUCUUAGGGUUUCCUCAAUGCACAUAUAUAGAACCCUUCAGUUCAACUGAGCAAACAUUCAUUGAGUCCAAAUGAGAUACUGCAAAUAUGAUGGUGAAGUAGGCCCGGGGUUCCCAAGUGUCCUUGGCUGCUGGUUUAUUCUUGUCUGUGUGUCCAUGGCACAGGUUCAUAGGACAGACAGGAGGCUGCGCAGGACCUGGGCCUUAGAUGGAUGCUGCUACUUGCCUUUUAGAGACUAGAAUAUGAAUUCUCUAACUUCACUCCAGCAAUGGACAUGACACGCUAAUGUCUCAUAUCGCAGAGCAUGAAUUUUGGAAAGAACCUUCCUAGGGCAUAGUAAAAAGAAUUCUGCUCUGCAACUUGGAGGUGUUCUCUUUAGCAGUAGAAAGGAGGCAUCAGGAUGAAGGCGUUUCUGAUUGGUCUUUCUACUUUCUCUCAUGUUUAUUAUUAUUAUUAUUAUUUUUUAAGAUCCACCCCCAAAAGUCAUCAUUUUAACAGAGGAAAGGGAAAAGCCAUAUGAUCCUGUCACUAGUUGGAGAAAAAGUAUUGGACUAAAUUCUACAGCUGUUCAUGGUAAAAGCUAUCAGGAGACUAGAAGUAGAACAGGAACUUCUCAACAGAUUAAAGACAUGUACUUCAUACUUCCAGCAAGAAUGCCUUAUAUGAAUGGAGAAGAUGCAAUGCUUUUUCCUUAAGGUGGGGAACAAGGGCAGAUAUGCUUACUCUUUAUCUGUCCAUUAAACUUUGAAACCUCGGCCCAAACCAAAAUAGUCUGGCAAUAAAAUGACACAAUUGGGAUAGGAUUGGCAAGGUCGAAGCAAAAUCUUUAUACGUAGAUGAAAUGAUCAUCUACAGAGAAAAUACUAAGAAAUCUCUAGGAGCCCCUAGAACUUGUAUUUGAAUGUAGCAGCAUGAGAAAACACAAGAUGUAUAUAAAAAUUCAGGUCUAUGUAUACUUGCUAUAAAUGAAGAAUUGAAUAUUGAAAUUUAAAAGUUAUGUAGGAGUACAAAGGACCUAGAAAAGUUAAAAAAAAAGUUUUGGGAGGUGUUUAGUACCUAAUUUUAAGACUUCUUCUAAAGGUACAGGAAUCAAAGCAGUGCUGGUGUAAGGAAAGAAGUACAGAUCAUUGGAAUAAAACAGAGAAUCUAGAAAUAGAACCACACAUAUAUGGUCCACUGAGUUUUGAAAGGUUAUUUAACAUUAGCUUUUAUAGAAUAUAAACUCAAUUCAAGAGCCGAGGAAGAGAUAGUUUUCAGCCAAUGGCACUAGAACACCUGGUAUCCAUAUAUAAAAAAUUAACCUCAACCCUUUAUUUCCAUACAUGAAAAUAACUUGAAGAGAUCUAUGAAGCUAAAUAGUAAA
rnacentral:lncRNA from 1 species